rnacentral:rRNA from 1 species
UACGUAGGGGGCGAGCGUUGUCCGGAUUUAUUGGGCGUAAAGAGCUCGUAGGUGGUUUGUCGCGUUGUCCGUGAAAACUCACAACUCAAUUGUGGGCGUGCGGGCGAUACGGGCAGACUGGAGUACUGCAGGGGAGACUGGAAUUCCUGGUGUAGCGGUGGAAUGCGCAGAUAUCAGGAGGAACACCGGUGGCGAAGGCGGGUCUCUGGGCAGUAACUGACGCUGAGGAGCGAAAGCGUGGGGAGCGAACAGG